UGAUCACUUUGAGCACUGACAAAUCAU
rnacentral:piRNA from 1 species